GAUGAACGCUGGCGGCGUGCCUAAUACAUGCAAGUCGAGCGAACAGACUAGGAGCUUGCUCCUCUGACGUUAGCGGCGGACGGGUGAGUAACACGUGGAUCACCUACCUAUAAGACUGGGAUAACUUCGGGAAACCGGCGCUAAUACCGGAUAAUAUAUUGAACCGCAUGGUUCAAUAGUGAAAGACGGUUUUGCUGUCACUUAUAGUUGGAUCCGCGCCGCAUUAGCUAGUUGGUAAGGUAACGGCUUACCAAGGCAACGAUGCGUAGCCGACCUGAGAGGGUGAUCGGCCACACUGGAACAGAGACACGGUGCAGACGCCUACGGGAGGCAGCAGUAGGGAAUCUUCCGCAAAGGGCGAAAGCCUGAAGGAGCAACGCAGCGUGAGUGAUGAAGGGAUUCGGAUCGUAAAACUCUGUUAUUAGGGAAGAACAAAUGUGUAAGUAACUAUGCACGUCUUGACGGUACCUAAUCAGAAAGCCACGGCUAACUACGUG
rnacentral:rRNA from 1 species